rnacentral:lncRNA from 1 species
AUUUGUUUGUCUUUUUUUGUGAAUAUGUACACAGAUGACGCCUCCUGUAUUUGUCCUCUUCCCUCUCUCCAAGGCCUGGCAAAGUCCUGCUUCCAGCCUUUCCAUGAAGCACACUGGAUGCUGCCAUUGGCUCCCUGCACUGCCUUAUUUCAGCACCUGUGGCUCAGGCUCCCUGCUCGUGGAGCUGGGGCUGACUGUGGGGAAGCAGCUGCCAACAGCUCUGUCUACCUCUGGAUCGGCCAGGGUCGGUGCUCUCCACAGACGUAGCUUGUGACAAAGUGGCUGGACGCUGCCAGAGAAGGAGCAAUGUUAUUGGAGAGGGAUGGAGCCAGAGCAGCAGGAGAGAGCCACUGGGCUGUGCUGAUGGGAGGAGGAGACAUGGAAAGGACAGUGCCCCGGGAGCCACCAGCCGUGAGGGUAAGAUGUUUUAAUGGAGGGACAGGGCAGGCAGUGCUUGGAUGGCACAGGUAGGCCUGGCACCAGGCAGGAUUUUAUUGUUUGAUGAAGGUUCACUGCCCUUGAUUCUUCUCCUUGGGCUUGUACUUAGUGAUUGUGGGAGAUAAGGAGGAUGAAGGGGAGGCGCUUGCUCUUUUUCCUGAAUGAUAAAGCUGGGAGCUGGCGAUGGCUUUGGGAAUAUGGGGAAUAUGGGCAAUCAGUUCCCAGAAAGCUAUUAGGGUAAAAGAUUGUCAUGUUAUAAACUUCUAAACCACAGAUGAACAGGCUUGAACAAACUGUUAGAACACCUAGUGUUGAUUAUUGAGAGUGUUUCUGCAGUGUGUGACUUGGCGUGGUUCGUUCGUGCUGUCCCUGAGAACAGUGACAUUUCAGAUUAGCAGUAUUUUGGGGUUCCACUUGGAAAGAGCCCACCCCUCAGCUGACUGGUGCUGUCCUCCACUGGGUGAUUUAAUGGUCAGGCAUGCUUGGUCGAGGGGAAGCAGCAUCACGGCAAGGCACCUGUACCCAUCUGCCAGUUUGGAUGAAGGGCCAAAUCACAGGGUCAGUAAUGCUUCUUGGCCAGAGAACAUGAGCUGAGCAGCUGUCCCUGCCUGCUAUCCAUGAGAGGUCCUCUUACCAACUCAGCCUCAGGGAGGGAGAGAGUCCCCUGUAGUCAGAACGGUAUGUGAGUGUCGCAGCUAGGGGCAGAGGGAGACCAGGGAACCUGCCCUUAGCCACUCACACAAGAUAUAAAUCCAGGAAGCUGAAAGGGAGCCCUUUUAGGCCAGGAUGGAGGGUACUCCCAGCAUCCCCUGUGGCCAGAUGCAGGGGUCCUUGGAGCACUCAGGGACCACCCUAGGAGAAGAGAUGGGAGCUGAAUGUGUUAUAGUUAAAUAACUCCUAGAUUGCAGAACAUCUCCCAGCUUCAUUUUUCUGUUUUGUAAAAUGAAUAUAAAUGAGAUGAAGGGUGCAAAAUGCCCCAUAAACUGAAUAGCUUUAUAUGAAUCUAAGUCAUUAUUUGCCCUGAAAUUUUUCUAUUUAAUAUUUUUGUCAACAAUUUGGAGGCAGAUACUGGAUGUAGGCUUAUCAGAUAUGUACAGAAAAUAAAGCUGGGAGGGCUAGCUGAAACACAGGUAUGGAGGACUACAGGUUGCAGAAUCUGAAAGCUCAGCACUCCCCUGGCUUCCUUCCCCUGGAUGCCUUCUCUGUGUGACCCUCAGAAAGCACAGUGCCCCUAACAGAGCUCCAUUUUUUCGUGGUGUGGCUGCUCCUUCUCUGUAGUGGGUAGAGAGGCCAGGGAUACUCCUAAACACCCUACCAUGCUCAGGGUUUCUCUGUCUCAGCAGUAUUGACAUUGUGGACCAGAUCACGGUGUUGUGGGGACUGUCCACAUGGUGGUAUGGUAGGAUGUUUAGCAGCAUUCCUGGCCUCUACCCUGUAGAUGCCCGUAGCACUGCUGUUCCUCUCUUUGUGACAAACAAGUGUCCCUGGGGUACAAAAUUGUCCCUGGUUAAAACCUCUGCUCUAGAUUCAUCCUUUGCACUUCCCUGCCUGCAUGGUAGCUCCUCUGGUCAUGUCAAAGUUCUCAUAGUUCCUUAAAUAAACAAAGCUUUUCCACAUCUUUCCCAGAACUUUGCAUGCAAGAUCCCUUCCCACUGCUGCCCUUUACCACUUCAUAAAAUCCUGUGUGUCCUUGAAAACUCAUCCCAAGCAUCCCUUCCUUGCAGAUGCCGUCCCAGAUGCUCCCAGACAGCUAGUGCACUCACAGCAAAGUUCUCCUGGAGCCCUGAGUGCAUGGAUUUUAUUUUUUUGCUUGGGAUAGUCACCCCCACUGGACUAUAAGCUUCUUGAAGGUAAAUCCUGGAUCUUUCUCACCUCUGCUCCCCAGUGCCUGGGAGGCAUGGCCUAGCACAGAGUGGGUGCUUAGUGAAUCCUCCUUGAGUAACAUUGCUUCAUGGAUCACUACUGGCUGGUAAUGGGACAUACAACGCUGUAGGCAAAAAGCAUAUUUUCUGGAUCUUAAUCACACGAAGGGUCCAGUACUCCACCCUCAGGUAGCAGAGCACCUUGU